UACGGAGGGAGCUAGCGUUGUUCGGAAUUACUGGGCGUAAAGCGCACGUAGGCGGCUUUGUAAGUUAGAGGUGAUAGCCUGGAGCUCAACUCCAGAAUUGCCUUUAAGACUGCAUCGCUUGAAUCCAGGAGAGGUGAGUGGAAUUCCGAGUGUAGAGGUGAAAUUCGUAGAUAUUCGGAAGAACACCAGUGGCGAAGGCGUCUCACUGGACUGGUAUUGACGCUGAGGUGCGAAAGCGUGGGGAGCAAACAGGAUUAGAUACCUGGUAGUCAAGGC
rnacentral:rRNA from 1 species